rnacentral:lncRNA from 1 species
CCAGUAAUGCAAUCUGUUUGAUCGGAAACAGAGGCAUCCAGAGAGAAAGUUAAAUCAAUAAACUCUGAAAUUUUAAAUAGUGUUUUAGAGAAAUUACCUGAAAUUAUCGAUAGCUCAAGCGCAGAACUGGAGGAAAGAGAGAAGGGCGUGGACGGCGGCUUGUGGCGUAGCUGGUGACGCUUUGUGAAGUGUGAGCUGGGUUUAAGGCGUAUGAGCUGGGUAUAUGCCUGGUUAUGCUUUGUGAAGGUUGGAGAAGACGAGAGGAAGAAAUGGGUUAUCCUGGGUUUAGGGCGGAUGAGAUGGGAAAGAGAGACAGAGAGAC